UGGGGAAUAUUGGGCAAUGGGCGAAAGCCUGACCCAGCGACGCCGCGUGCGGGAUGAAGGCCUUCGGGUUGUAAACCGCUUUCAGCAGGGAAGAAGCGAAAGUGACGGUACCUGAAGAAGAAGCACCGGCUAACUAUGUG
rnacentral:rRNA from 2 species